CAGUAGCCACGGUAAUACGGAGGGUGCAAGCGUUAAUCGGAAUUACUGGGCGUAAAGCGUGCGUAGGCGGUUCGUUAAGUCUGUUGUGAAAGCCCCGGGCUCAACCUGGGAAUGGCGAUGGAGACUGCAAGGCUAGAAUCUGGCAGAGGGGGGUAGAAUUCCACGUGUAGCAGUGAAAUGCGUAGAUAUGUGGAGGAACACCGAUGGCGAAGGCAGCCCCCUGGGCUAAGAUUGACGCUCAUGCACGAAAGCGUGGGGAGCAAACAGGAUUAGAUACCCCAGUAGUCCCUGUCUCUUAUAC
rnacentral:rRNA from 1 species